rnacentral:rRNA from 1 species
UACGUAGGGGGCAAGCGUUGUCCGGAAUCACUGGGCGUAAAGCGCGCGCAGGCGGCUAUCUACGUCCGGGGUGAAAGCCCAGAGCUCAACUCUGGGAUUGCCUUGGAUACGGGAUGGCUUGAGGAUCGGAGAGGCAAGGGGAAUUCCAGGUGUAGCGGUGAAAUGCGUAGAUAUCUGGAGGAAUACCGGUGGCGAAGGCGGCAUUCUGGACCGACAUUGACACUAAAGCGCGAAAGCCAGGGGAGCAAACGGG